AAGACCAUACUUUCAGGGAUCAUUUCUAUAGUUUCUGACUAGGAAAUGCGUGAAUCAUGCACAACGUGAGGUAUCUAUCUCAUGCUUUGUCAUUGAUGACUGUUCCUGUUCUUCUUUGGAGAGCAGGGGGAGAGUUGACAUUUUCAGA
ensembl:snoRNA U3 Small nucleolar RNA U3